rnacentral:rRNA from 1 species
GACGAACGCUGGCGGCGUGCCUAAUACAUGCAAGUUGAGCGCUGAAGGUUGGUACUUGUACCGACUGGAUGAGCAGCGAACGGGUGAGUAACGCGUGGGGAAUCUGCCUUUGAGCGGGGGACAACAUUCGGAAACGAAUGCUAAUACCGCAUAAAAACUUUAAACACAAGUUUUAAGUUUGAAAGAUGCAAUUGCAUCACUCAAAGAUGAUCCCGCGUUGUAUUAGCUAGUUGGUGAGGUAAAGGCUCACCAAGGCGGAGAUACAUAGCCGACCUGAGAGGGUGAUCGGCCACAUUGGGACUGAGACACGGCCCAAACUCCUACGGGAGGCAGCAGUAGGGAAUCUUCGGCAAUGGACGAAAGUCUGACCGAGCAACGCCGCGUGAGUGAAGAAGGUUUUCGGAUCGUAAAACUCUGUUGGUAGAGAAGAACGUGUGCGAGAGUAACUGUUCGUGCAGUGACGGUAUCUGGCCAGAAAGCCACGGCUAACUACGUGCCAGCCGCCGCAGUAA